AUAAAUACCGUGCUAUUUUAACA
rnacentral:siRNA from 1 species